UACGUAGGGGGCAAGCGUUGUCCGGAAUUAUUGGGCGUAAAGCGCGCGCAGGCGGCCAUUUAAGUCGGGGUGUUUAACCCCAGAGCUCAACUCUGGGUCGCACCCGAAACUGGACGGCUUGAGUGUAGGAGAGGAAAGUGGAAUUCCACGUGUAGCGGUGGAAAUGACGUAGAGAUGUGGAGGAACACCAGUGGCGAAGGCGACUUUCUGGCCUAUAACUGACGCUGAG
rnacentral:rRNA from 1 species